rnacentral:lncRNA from 1 species
GCCUUUAUUUUCUUUGUCCUAACAUUAUUCAAUCAAGCUGAUGAAGCAUGGAGGUUUGAAAGUCUUCAGUUACCUGUAACUUCAGUAAGGUUUCGGCUUUCUUCUUUUCAGGAUUCUAGGAAGCAGCAGUCUUUUACAUUUUACUGUUUUUCUAAACUCAAAAAUUCAAAAUGGUUAUACCUGGACUCAUUCAGGAUUCUAGGAAGCAGCAGUCUUUUGCAUUUUACUGUUUUUCUAAACUCAAAAAUUCAAAAUGGUUAUACCUGGACUCCAAGCUUCAGAAACGUAGUUUGCUUGCUAAGCAGCUGCCCCUCUCCGAGUGCACAUAUGAGAACAUCAAGUCCCUCGAUUGCAGAAGUGGGCAAUUACAGUUCAAUGCUCAUGCAGACCCUUCCUCA